GCCAGUGUGGCUCAGUGGAUAGAGCGUUGGACUGCAGACCAAAGGGUCCUGGGUUCGAUUCUGGUCAAGGGCA
rfam:Myotis brandtii contig231571, whole genome shotgun sequence.